rnacentral:lncRNA from 1 species
AACAAAAAAAAAAAAAAAACACAGAAACAGAAAGUAAAGGAAGACGAAGGAAACUGUCGGAAAAGGCAAAGAAGAAAUGAAAAGAUUUCGUCGGAAAAGAAGAGGAAGAAACGAAAGGGUAGAAAAGACAAAAAGAAUGCGAAGCUUGGGGAAGAAAAAAAGCCGUCGUAUCGAACCAUCGCAUCGAAGCGAGUUCCGAGGUCGGCUAUGAUGAUGAAUAGACGACGGAAAUUAAGAGGGCAUAAUUAAUACCGCAUAUAAGACAAAAA